GCCAGCAUGGUGUAGUGGUUUGAGUUUGGGACUACAACUCUGAAGGCCACGGUUCGAAUUCCUGCUCUGGCA